rnacentral:rRNA from 1 species
GGCAGGCCUAACACAUGCAAGUCGAGCGGAAACGACAACAUUGACCCUUCGGGUGAUUUAUUGGGCGUCGAGCGGCGGACGGGUGAGUAAUGCCUGGGAAAUUCCCCUGAUGUGGGGGAUAACCAUCGGAAACGAUGGCUAAUACCGCAUAACGUCUACGGACCAAAGAGGGGGACCUUCGGGCCUCUCGCUUCAGGAUAUGCCCAGGUGGGAUUAGCUAGUUGGUGAGGUAAUGGCUCACCAAGGCGACGAUCCCUAGCUGGUCUGAGAGGAUGAUCAGCCACACUGGAACUGAGACACGGUCCAGACUCCUACGGGAGGCAGCAGUGGGGAAUAUUGCACAAUGGGCGCAAGCCUGAUGCAGCCAUGACCGCGUGUAUGAAGAAGGCCUUCGGGUUGUAAAGUACUUUCAGUCGUGAGGAAGGCAUUAACGUUAAUAGCGUUAGUGUUUGACGUUAGCGACAGAAGAAGCACCGGCUAACUCCGUGCCAGCAGCCGCGGUAAUAC